UACGGAGGAUGCAAGCGUUAUCCGGAAUGAUUGGGCGUAAAGCGUCCGCAGGUGGCUAUGUAAGUCUGCUGUUAAAGAGUGAGGCUCAACCUCAUAAGAGCAGUGGAAACUACAUGGCUAGAGUGCGUUCGGGGCAGAGGGAAUUCCUGGUGUAGCGGUGAAAUGCGUAGAGAUCAGGAAGAACACCGGUGGCGAAGGCGGCGACCUGGGUCGAGACUGACGCUGGAGGCGCGAAAGCGUGGGGAGCAAACGGG
rnacentral:rRNA from 1 species